GGUUCAGUGGUCUAAUGGUUAUGAUUUUCGUCUCACAUGCAAAUGUCCACGAAAGGUUCCCGGUUCGAUCCCGGGCUGAACCA
rfam:Schizophyllum commune H4-8 unplaced genomic scaffold SCHCOscaffold_6, whole genome shotgun sequence.